rnacentral:rRNA from 1 species
GGGAUAUUACUUGGAAACAGGUGCUAAUACCGUAUAACAAUCGAAACCGCAUGGUUUUGAUUUGAAAGGCGCUUUCGGGUGUCGCUGAUGGAUGGACCCGCGGUGCAUUAGCUAGUUGGUGAGGUAACGGCUCACCAAGGCCACGAUGCAUAGCCGACCUGAGAGGGUGAUCGGCCACAUUGGGACUGAGACACGGCCCAAACUCCUACGGGAGGCAGCAGUAGGGAAUCUUCGGCAAUGGACGAAAGUCUGACCGAGCAACGCCGCGUGAGUGAAGAAGGUUUUCGGAUCGUAAAACUCUGUUGUUAGAGAAGAACAAGGAUGAGAGUAACUGUUCAUCCCUUGACGGUAUCUAACCAGAAAGCCACGGCUAACUACGUGCCAGCAGCCGCGGUAAUACGUAGGUGGCAAGCGUUGUCCGGAUUUAUUGGGCGUAAAGCGAGCGCAGGCGGUUUCUUAAGUCUGAUGUGAAAGCCCCCGGCUCAACCGGGGAGGGUCAUUGGAAACUGGGAGACUUGAGUGCAGAAGAGGAGAGUGGAAUUCCAUGUGUAGCGGUGAAAUGCGUAGAUAUAUGGAGGAACACCAGUGGCGAAGGCGGCUCUCUGGUCUGUAACUGACGCUGAGGCUCGAAAGCGUGGGGAGCAAACAGGAUUAGAUACCCUGGUAGUCCACGCCGUAAACGAUGAGUGCUAAGUGUUGGAGGGUUUCCGCCCUUCAGUGCUGCAGCUAACGCAUUAAGCACUCCGCCUGGGGAGUACGACCGCAAGGUUGAAACUCAAAGGAAUUGACGGGGGCCCGCACAAGCGGUGGAGCAUGUGGUUUAAUUCGAAGCAACGCGAAGAACCUUACCAGGUCUUGACAUCCUUUGACCACUCUAGAGAUAGAGCUUCCCCUUCGGGGGCAAAGUGACAGGUGGUGCAUGGUUGUCGUCAGCUCGUGUCGUGAGAUGUUGGGUUAAGUCCCGCAACGAGCGCAACCCUUAUUGUUAGUUGCCAUCAUUCAGUUGGGCACUCUAGCAAGACUGCCGGUGACAAACCGGAGGAAGGUGGGGAUGACGUCAAAUCAUCAUGCCCCUUAUGACCUGGGCUACACACGUGCUACAAUGGGAAGUACAACGAGUUGCGAAGUCGCGAGGCUAAGCUAAUCUCUUAAAGCUUCUCUCAGUUCGGAUUGCAGGCUGCAACU